rnacentral:rRNA from 1 species
AUUGAACGCUGGCGGCAUGCCUUACACAUGCAAGUCGAACGGUAACAGGUUAAGCUGACGAGUGGCGAACGGGUGAGUAAUGUAUCGGAACGUGCCCAGUCGUGGGGGAUAACUGCUCGAAAGAGCAGCUAAUACCGCAUACGACCUGAGGGUGAAAGCGGGGGAUCGCAAGACCUCGCGCGAUUGGAGCGGCCGAUAUCAGAUUAGGUAGUUGGUGAGGUAAAGGCUCACCAAGCCGACGAUCUGUAGCUGGUCUGAGAGGACGACCAGCCACACUGGGACUGAGACACGGCCCAGACUCCUACGGGAGGCAGCAGCGGGGAAUUUUGGACAAUGGGCGCAAGCCUGAUCCAGCCAUGCCGCGUGCGGGAAGAAGGCCUUCGGGUUGUAAACCGCUUUUGUCAGGGAAGAAAAGGUUCUGGCUAAUACCUGGGACUCAUGACGGUACCUGAAGAAUAAGCACCGGCUAACUACGUGCCAGCAGCCGCGGUAA